GCCGGGUGUGGUGGCAUGUGCCUGUAGUCCCAGCUACUCGGGAGGCUGAAGUGGGAGGAUCACUUGAGCCCAGGAAUUCUGGGCUGUAGUGUGCUAUGCUGAUCGAGUGUGCACACUAAGUUCAGCAUCAAUAUGGUGACCUCCCGGGAGCGGGGGACCACCAGGUUGUCUAAGGAGGGGUGAACCGGCCUUGGUCAGAAACAGAGCAGGUCAAACCUCCUGUACUGAUCAGUAGUGGGAUCGUGUCUGUGAAUAGCCACUGCACUCCAGCUUGGGCAACAUAUCGAGACCCUGUCUCU
ensembl:misc_RNA Metazoa_SRP Metazoan signal recognition particle RNA